rnacentral:tRNA from 1 species
GCGUCUGUAGCUCAGCUUGGAUAGAGCGUUCGGCUCCGACCCGGAAGGCCGCUGGUUCGAGUCCAGUCAGGCGCA